rnacentral:rRNA from 1 species
AUGCAGCGACGCAAUAUUCGAGAUGAUGCUUAUUGCCCGAUGUGUGGCUGCGAUAACGAAUCAUCAUUUCAUGCUCUAGUAUUGUGCAAUCAUGCACGGCGUUUUUGGGAUGCAACGCAAGGGUAUUUCGAGUUUAAGCUACCAAGGCUGCACCCUGUGACAUGGUCUAGGGAUAUUCUUGAUCCAUAUUUUAUGAAGAAGGAGACAACCGCUAUUGUAGUCUCAGUGAUGUGGGCAGUAUGGACAAGUCACAACAAGUACACACAUGAAGAAUUAAAAUAUCAGCCUCAGCGGUCUAUGGAGUUGAUCCACGAGUUUGUUUUGGCUAUUAAUAUCCCAACACAGCGGGUGCAUGUGCCUCCUGUGAAGCAUGUUUGGAGGGCGCCAGAGAACGGGUGGCUCAAGUUAAAUACAGACAGUCCAACAGACUGUAUCAAUGGCUGCACAGGUACAUGUGUGGUCGUACAGAAUCAUGAGGGCCAGCUUCAGUUUGGGCAGUGUCGGAGGUAUAAUGCUAUGUACGAGCCUUUCGUUCUGGAACUAAUAGCAUGCUGGGAUGCACUGAUAUGUGCUGUAGAGAAAGGCUAUUCACGUAUUGUGAUUGAGACAGAUUGUCAAGCAGUGGUGUCAGCUUGGCAACAGGAAGAUGGUCGUUCGAUCGGGGGCCAACUGGUGAAGGAGAUGCGUACCUAUCUCCAAAACUUUCAGGGGUUUGAGUUGAGAUGGACUGGACGUGAAGCAAAUUUUGCUGCUCACACAUGUGCUAAGGAAUCUCUAAGUCUAGAAUUAGUAUUUUUGUCUUUCUGUGUAACCCAAGACUUUCUGAUUGACGUGUUACAAUCAGAUGUGAUCCGCCAAUAUGAAUAA